rnacentral:rRNA from 1 species
CCACCUUCAAGAGUGUAUAUUAAAGUUGUAGCAGUUGAAAGGUUCGUAGUUGGAAGUCGGGACGGUGGAUGCAGAGCAGGGAGACCUGGAUCUGGGUUUGGGGCCCUUCGCCGGUCGAGGGAUAAUACCCGACCCCCCCCGUUACUGUGAGGAAAUUAGAGUGUUCAAGGCAGGCGUGUGCUUGGAUAGGUUAGCAUGGAAUAACGGGAUGGUCCGUUGGUUGGAGCGUAGGUUGAUAGGGACAGUUGGGGGCAUUGGUAUUUGGCAGUCAGAGGUGAAAUUCUAGGAUUUGCUGAAGACGGACGGGGGCGAAAGCAUUUGCCAAGGAUGUUUUCAUUGAUCAAGAACGAAAGUUGGGGGAUCGAAGACGAUUAGAUACCGUCGUAGUCUCGACAGUAAACGAUGCCGGCGGGGCGUGGGGGGGCCGAAGGCGGAUCUUCCGCGCCCUGGAGAAAUCAGAGCGUGUGGGUUCUGGGGGGAGUAUGGUCGCAAGGCAGAAACUUGAAGGAAUUGACGGAAGGGCACCACCAGGAGUGGAGCCUGCGGCUUAAUUCGACUCAAC